CUGUGCCGGACUGUACUGGACUGUGCCGGACUCUGCUGGACUGGACUGUGCUGGACUGUGCCGGACUGUGCCGGACUCUGCUGGACUGUGCCGGACGGCGCCGUCGAGCUGUGUGCUCUGUGCUCUUUCCAGCGUGAGCAGUGCAUGGACAGACGUGCACAGGUCUAAAUCUCAGCUGGCUCGCUCCCGGGGCUCGUUCCAGUUCCUUCGCUGCCUUUAUCCCAGAAUGCAAAGCUGACGGAACGUAUACAGCGUUUUCCUUCCCGUCUAAUCACACGCGUCUGAUCCGACCGGCUGGAGGAGAGAGGAAUCACAGAAGCACAGCUGGGUCCGGAUCAUCACCUCUGCCCGUCCUCCAGCUGGACCAGAUGAGAACACAUCUGAUGGACCGCAGGUGGAAAUAAAACACAAAAGGUCAAAUAAAUUUGCCCCUCUUUCUGUCGUCCUCCUUUCUCUCUCCGUCUGUCAUCCGCUGCUCAGUUUAAUGGCUCCCCGCGAGCGUCCAGAUGCUCCUGUAGCUCCGGCGAGGAUUUAAACCGGAUUCCUCUGAUUAUUUGAAUGUAGAUUUGGCUUUUUAUUUCUCCGGCAGCCUGUCGUGCUCGGCCUCUCGGUUCAUUAACUGUUCAUUUACACACUCCUCUUUCAUCCUGCCCGCUUCUCCCCGGUCUGCGAAUGAUUGUUUAUCAUCUCUGAUUCGGUUUUUAAUUAAAAUACUCCUCUGCUGACUGAGGAUGUGGAGAGAUACGGGGCCUGCAGAACCCUCAGGAAAGAUGUGCUGGGACCUGCUCUGCUUAUCAGUCAAUCUGCGUUAUAUUGCUUUUUAUUAGUACUUCAUCCGAGUAAAAUGCAAAUGUGUGUGGUUUAUAAUUGUGUUUGCAGGCGAGUCUCACACAGACCAAAA